rnacentral:lncRNA from 1 species
CGGUGUAUGUGGUACAUUCUUAGCAGACAAGCGAAUUUCUCAUAGGCUACCGAUUGAACUUGAACUGGAUUAAGUGACUGCUUCUCUCCGUCUGUUGUGCUGCCUACUUUGAUGUAAGGUGGAUGAUGCUCCUUGCGGGCUUAGUCACGAAUGAACAUUUCGCCUGGAAGGUUGCUCAUGUUGACUAUCAGAGUGUGACCCCAACCGUGAAUGUAUGCUCGUCCGUGGGCCUAAUCGAGAGUGCAUGCUCAUUUACGUACUAAGACGGGAGUAUACGCUAUGUUGAGGGCCAGUUGGGAGUGUACACUGCCCGAAUGCUUGGUUUGUGGCUGGUCGAGUGGUUGCUUGCCGGGAUGCUGCUGGAGAGGUUUUUCAUCUA